rnacentral:rRNA from 1 species
GCACAAGCGGUGGAUGAUGUGGAUUAAUUCGAUGCAACGCGAAAACCUUACUACCCUUGACAUGUCCGGAAUCCCGGAAGAGAUUUGGGAGUGCUCGCAAGAGAACCGGAACACAGGUGCUGCAUGGCUGUCGUCAGCUCGUGUCGUGAGAUGUUGGGUUAAGUCCCGCAACGAGCGCAGCCCUUGUCAUUAGUUGCCAUCAUUUGGUUGGGCACUCUAAUGAGACUGCCGGUGACAAACCGGAGGAAGGUGGGGAUGACGUCAAGUCCUCAUGGCCCUUAUGGGUAGGGCUUCACACGUCAUACAAUGGUCGGUACAGGGGGUUGCCAACCCGCGAGGGGGAGCUAAUCCCACAAAGCCGAUCGUAGUCCGGAUCGCAGUCUGCAACUCGACUGCGUGAAGUCGGAAUCGCUAGUAAUCGUGGAUCAGCAUGUCACGGUGAAUACGUUCCCGGGUCUU